rnacentral:lncRNA from 1 species
CUUUUUGGUGCCUUUGUUUUUCCUCUUAUUUCUUCCUUCUAUUUCUGGUCUGAAAAUCGUGGUAUCUGAUGCAUCUUUCAUUGCAUUAUACACCUAUCUUUUCUUAAUUGCUGCAUGCGUUUGAAUUUUCAUCAUUUUGUUCCCACUUAUGGUUGCGUAGCUUUAUUUGCAGGUAAAACUCUCCACUCCAAUGUCUACCAUUUUUACACUUAGAGUUCAAUUGCACCCAUUAAAGACUUUCGGAUUGAUAGAAAAGUAAGAGAACAUUCAUCCUCCUUUCUUUAUCUUUUAAAUUUUUAAGAUAAAAGCUCCCUUGUGGAUUGAUUUUGAUCUAAGUGAUUGUGUAUUAUUUAUUGGUUAAUAUAGAGAACUCUAAUUUACAGAGGAAGAGAACCAACUAGUCAUUUUUUAAGAAGAGGCUGGGGUGUUUUUGGUUUGGGUCAUAUGGCUUGGUCCGAUGGGUCGGGUUAUAUGGGUGCGUUUGACAGAUAUGGGGUGGGGUUUCAAUUCGUCCAAAAAGAAUUUGCCAUGCCAUUAAAAUUUCUAAUAUGAGCUGUUAGAUUUAGGGGCAGGUUUAAGCCAAAACAUUAAGGGAGAAGUAAAUUUGGCUCAAUAGGCGGAUGGAGGGUAAUUUUGUACCAAUUCUACUGAUUUUUUUUGUUAUUUAAAUUGCUCGCAGUGAGCCAUAUAUGUCGUCUUGGUAGAAACUGUCCAGUUUUCGUUGAUGAUAACAGUUAAGGAGUUCAAGUAAAUUAAGGGGUCCUUGUGUACGACUCCUAAGAGAGUUCAAGCCUAGGAUCCCGUUAUUGUGCCAUAAAUUAGUAAUGUGACCAUUAUGAGGUGUUAUCUCCGCUCACUGGGUUGUGCAUAAUUUGGUAAAUACCGAAUUAUCAUAUCGAAAUUUUUGGUAUUUGAUAUUUGGUAUUUGGUAUGGUAUUUAGUUUACAUUUUAAAAAAAAUUGGUAUUAGAUAUGAUAUUUGGUAUUUUUUUUUAAAAAUACCGAAAUAUCAAUACCUUACCGAAAUAUAUAUUGGAUUAGUUUUAAAUAUCUUGUCAUCCUUGCAGCUCGCAGUUACCAGAGAGCUUAAGGAGAAUGUUUCUAGUUCCAUGUUCUUUAGUUAAAGCCUGUGCACCAUAUUUUUUUGUCUAUGUGGUUAAUGGAUGAUACCCGAAUGAUUUCUGUAAACAACACUUGUGAAAAACUUAUUUUGGUCACAUUUGAGA